GGAAGUGUGGCCGAGCGGUUGAAGGCACCGGUCUUGAAACCGGCGACCCGAAAGGGUUCCAGAGUUCGAAUCUCUGCGCUUCCGCCA
rnacentral:tRNA from 2 species